rnacentral:rRNA from 1 species
AUUGAACGCUGGCGGCAGGCCUAACACAUGCAAGUCGAGCGAGCGGCGGACGGGUGAGUAAUGUAUGGGGACUGCCCGAUCGAGGGGGAUAACUAAUGGAAACGGUAGCUAAUACCGCAUACUAUCGGAUAACCCAUAUGGGAUUAGCUAGUAGGUGAGGUAAGGGCUCACCGAGGCGACGAUCCCUAGAUGGUCUGAGAGGAUGCUCAGCCACACUGGGACUGAGACACGGCCCAGACUCCUACGGAGGCAGCAGUGGGGAAUAUUGCACAAUGGGCGCAAGCCUGAUGCAGCCAUGCCGCGUGUAUGAAGAAGGCCCUAGGGUUGUAAAGUACUUUCAGUCGGGAGGCGUUACCGACAGAAGAAGCACCGGCUAACUCCGUGCCAGCCGCCGCGGUAAUUC